rnacentral:rRNA from 1 species
GACGAACGCUGGCGGCGUGCUUAACACAUGCAAGUCGAACGAAGUGGAGAACGGGUGAGUAACGCGUAAUCAACCUGCCCUUCAGAGGGGGACAACAGUUGGAAACGACUGCUAAUACCGCAUACUGAAGGUGGGGAUUGCGUCUGAUUCGCUAGUUGGAGGGUGAACGGCCCACCCAGUCGAUGAUCAGUAGCCGGUCUGAUAGGAGGAACGGCCAAAUUGUGACUGAGACACGGCCCAGACUCCUACGGGAGGCAGCAGUGGGGAAUCUUUCGCAAUGGACGAAAGUCUGACGGAGCAACGCCGCGUGAGUGAUGACGGCCUUCGGGUUUUAAAGCUCUGUUAAUCGGGACGCGGUACCGGAAUAGAAAGCCACGGCUAACUACGUGCCAGCCGCCGCGGUAAUUC